GCAUAAUGAAGAAAUGAAGAUAUUUAAAGAGUACGUCAUCGCAAACAAGCAAAUAUGUACAUAUAUGCGACAUGUAUUAAUUUUACGAGACUCAACGAACAUUUAAAUAUUUACACGUGUCGCGUCGGUAUGUCACCAUAUUUGAUCACGAAGAAUCCGAUAAUCAAGGCCUCUCACGCUGCCUGGUUAAGUUAAAACCACUGAACUCAAAUGAAAAAUGCAGUAGUUUCGUUGUUUUUUAGUCUCUCGAUAAUAUUUAGAACCAGUGACACAUUAAUUUAUAGCACGAGAUCCGAGAGAGUACUGAAAAAAAUUGAAGCAUAGUAUAAAAGGAAAUCAGGCUUAAUAUUUCCAUGUGUAAUCCGAUUAUUGGUUUCGACAGACGCGUGAUUUCAGUAAAUUUCCAGUGCCUUUGAGCUCAACAACCUUUUCGUUGUUUUGGAAAGGAGUGAAAAUCCAGGACAUAUUUUAUGGAUUCCGCACCUUCUUCAUUCCCACAGAUGUAUUUACUAUCAAUAGUUUUAUUGUUAAGUUUUCUGAGCAAUGUCACUGGAAAGCACAACGUAUGGUCAAAUGGAGUGGCAGAUGUCUUUAAAGAAACAGUCGCACACCAGGUUGAGAAAGCUAGCACAUUGCUCCAGCAGUUCGAGCGGUACAUGAUGGAAUUCGGAAAGAGCUACAAAUCCCCAGCGGAGAGAAUGCUACGCUUUGACAUAUUCAAGGAGAACCUUAAGGUAAUCAAAUGGCUCAUGGCGACACGAAGAGGCAACGUAGUUUAUGGACCUGGCCCUUUCACCGAUCUUACAAGCAAAGAAUUCAUGUCGUUGUACGUAUCGGGCUUCAGACCCGGCCUGCGGCCAAGGGUGGUCACCCGCCGGUCACCAACCAACACCCCGUCCGAGGAGGGGGGCGGGGGCACCAGCAAACCCAUCGUCAAACCGGGCGGCAUAAACCUCCCGAAGCUGCUCCCGCCGAGACGCCCCGCCGAAGACACAUUCGGCGCCCCCGAGAAAACGAAGACCCCCUUGAGACUGGCGGACAGCCCGAAGACUGAGUUGGAGACGCUGAGCAAAGGCCCGCGCCUGACACCGAAGCUCCCUGGGGACUUGAAAGGGGCCAACGAGAAACCGGGUCCAUCGCCCCACCGCCGAUCACCAAGGGCCUUGACAGUCCUGCCAGGGGUGGUGCCAAGGGACCGGUGUUCCGCGAUUCUCCGCCCCCCAUAAGGGUGGAUUGGACUGAGAGGCUGAGGAUGUAUCCGUUCGCCGAGAGCCAGACUUUGGGCAACAAAGUUUGUGGAGCUUGUUGGGCGUUUGCCGUUGGAGGAGCUUUAGAUGUGGCAAUCGCAUAUGAGAGGGGCAAGGUUGAGGCUAUAUUUUCAAAACAACGUAAGUGCAUCAGUUGUAGCCUCCUGUAAUUAUCGAACAACGUGAGUGCAUCAAUUGGAUCGCAUUUAGCAGAAGGGAAUCAGCGCGAUUCCAGUGUUUUCAAAAUUGUGCAACUUCUUCUUUUCUUUUAAAAA
rnacentral:lncRNA from 1 species